GUACCAAAAAGCACAUGUACGUAGCAUUAAAAAAAAUUCUUUAAUUCAAAAUUGCAUGAGUAUACCAAAAUGCACAGGUAAAAGUUGGCAUCAUAUUUGUCAAUAUUUCAAUUACAUGCAUGCAUGCAUGGUACCAAAAAGUACAUGCUAGAAACAUUUAAAAUUUGACAUCAUAUUUGUCAAACUCCUCAUUCAAACACUCCCAUACAUAAAAUAGGCUCGAAAAAAGAGUGCACCUAACAUCAGUAUAAACUCGCUGCCAUUUCCAAGUUUUCAAAUCUUUUGCUUUAAGCCGAUCUGCAUCAUAUUUGUCAAAAUUACAAUUCAUAUGUGUAAAUGCAAAGCAUAGACAUAUGCAUAUCCAAUUCGCAACAUUUAAAACUGAAUUUUACAGCUCAUCGUCAUAACAUGUCAUUAAAAAUUAUACUUUCAUGCAUAAAUUUACCUCUAAAAGAGCAAGUUAAUCGCGUUUCUAUUUCAAAUUUUAUCUAGAGUAAUUUAGAGACGUGCUUUAAGUCGCAGCUAAUACAUUUGUAAUAGUAGUCUGACCUCCUUCUUAUAUACACCUAUACUAUACUCGAACUAUAAAUAGUUAAUGUAUCUCUGUUGAACAAUGUCAAAGAAGUUGACCUGCAAAAUGUCGUAAACAUCCUCUUUCAUCAUGAGUCCAUCUUCAGUGUACUAGAUAAGUCUUCAAUAAAUAAAAUUAAAAACUUGUGUCCUUUAAUUGUUGUCUAAUAUAUCAUACACAACGUUGACGGUUGCAUGAAUUUUCCUAAUACAUGUAAAUAUAUUAAUUAUUUUUUGAAUAAAAGAUAACAAGCU